GUUGUAAAGCACUUUAAGCGAGGAGGAGGCUACUUUAGUUAAUACCUAGAGAUAGUGGACGUUACUCGCAGAAUAAGCACCGGCUAACUCUGUGCCAGCAGCCGCGGUAAUACAGAGGGUGCGAGCGUUAAUCGGAUUUACUGGGCGUAAAGCGUGCGUAGGCGGCUUAUUAAGUCGGAUGUGAAAUCCCCGAGCUUAACUUGGGAAUUGCAUUCGAUACUGGUGAGCUAGAGUAUGGGAGAGGAUGGUAGAAUUCCAGGUGUAGCGGUGAAAUGCGUAGAGAUCUGGAGGAAUACCGAUGGCGAAGGCAGCCAUCUGGCCUAAUACUGACGCUGAGGUACGAAAGCAUGGGGAGCAAACAGGAUUAGAUACCCUGGUAGUCCAUGCCGUAAACGAUGUCUACUAGCCGUUGGGGCCUUUGAGGCUUUAGUGGCGCAGCUAACGCGAUAAGUAGACCGCCUGGGGAGUACGGUCGCAAGACUAAAACUCAAAUGAAUUGACGGGGGCCCGCACAAGCGGUGGAGCAUGUGGUUUAAUUCGAUGCAACGCGAAGAACCUUACCUGGCCUUGACAUACUAGAAACUUUCCAGAGA
rnacentral:rRNA from 1 species